UACGAAGGGGGCUAGCGUUGUUCGGAAUUACUGGGCGUAAAGGGCGCGUAGGCGGUGUGUCAAGUCAGGCGUGAAAGCCCCGGGCUCAACCUGGGAACCGCGCUUGAGACUGGCACGCUAGAGUUCGGGAGAGGAUGGUGGAAUUCCCAGUGUAGAGGUGAAAUUCGUAGAUAUCGGGAGGAACACCGGUGGCGAAGGCGGCUGCUGGGCCUUGACCUGACGCUGAGGAGCGAAAGCGUGGGGAGCGAACAGG
rnacentral:rRNA from 1 species